GCUGGGCACAGUGCUGCAUGCCUGUAAUCCCAGCAGCUCAAGAGGCUGAGGCAGGAGGAUGGAAAGUUCAAAGCCAGUCUCAGCAACUUAGUGAGGCUUUAAGCAACUUAGAUAGAUCCUGUCUCAA
rnacentral:sRNA from 1 species